UACGGAGGGUGCAAGCGUUAUCCGGAUUCACUGGGUUUAAAGGGUGCGUAGGAGGGCAGGUAAGUCAGUGGUGAAAUCUCCGGGCUCAACUCGGAAACUGCCGUUGAUACUAUCUGUCUUGAAUAUCGUGGAGGUGAGUGGAAUAUGUCAUGUAGCGGUGAAAUGACUUAGAUAUGACAUAGAACACCAAUUGCGAAGGCGGCUCACUACACGUAUAUUGACUCUGAGGCACGAAAGCGUGGGGAUCAAACAGG
rnacentral:rRNA from 1 species